rnacentral:lncRNA from 1 species
GCUCCCACGAUGAAACCGAUCGCAAUCGGUGCAAUCGUCCCGAGGUUGCCCCUCUUGGGGUCCACGGCGGUGGCGUACACGGUGUAGACUAGGCCGAAGGUCAUGACGAUCUCGAGGACGAGCGCCUCCCAGACGCUGACGCCGGUGAGGCCGAAGGUGCCGGUGGAGAGGCCGCCGGUGGAGAAGCGAAGGAGGAAGCAGGCAAUAGUGGAGCCGAGGAGCUGAGCGAACCAGUAGAGAAUCCCUCUGAGAAGAG